GACAGCUCAGUGUUUGCCCGGACAAAACGAGCCCUAGGAGGCCGCCCAGCACAAUGAUGGUCCAGAGUGUUCGACGUCUCCUUUCGCAACCCCGAGCGCGAAGCCAUCCGUCCCCGGCCACGGCGCCGCCCGGCGCGGCCUCGCGUGGAGCGGCGAGCCUUGAGGAAAUGUUUGUAGUGCAACUGACAUGGGCAAUAAACAAAUAAAUGAAUGGAAGGAGCGGCGGCAAACACACUGCUGCACCCCUGGAAAGCGACACGGGUGCUGGUGCCCACAGCAAUUCCUCAUCCCACUUUGUCAAGGAUGGGAGCUGAGAGCUGAAAUUUGCUCCUCCCAGCAGUGCCUGCUGCCAAUCUCUGAGGGACAUCAGCAAAACUCUCUUUCAUUUCAUUUUAAUAAAUGAAGUAUAAUUCUUCCUAUGCAAAA